rnacentral:rRNA from 1 species
GGGAAAACUUUUUUAGAAUUAAGUAAAUGAAUUUAACUUUUUAGUAAGAAGACUAAAAUGAAUCUUUUAGACAAGAAGACCCUAUAAAACUUUAUAUUUUGAAUUUUUAGGAGAAGUAAAAAUAUUACACUGGGGCGGUGGAGAAAAAAUCUUUCUUUAAAUAAGAAAACUUGGCUGUUUGAAUAUCUUGAAGUUCUGAAAUAAGAAUAAGUUACUUUAGGGAUAACAGCUUAAUUUACUUUUAAAGAUCAAAUUGACAAGUAAGU